AAAUGAUGCAUCUAGUUUUGGGGGGCAGACCAGAGGUAUUUUCAACAAGUGCAUCACCGCACCGGCGUGUCUGAGUCACCCCCCAAAUCCGCGCCGGUUCCUGUCGCAUUGGAUACAUGCAGGUCCUCUCAGGCCAAUGGAACAGAGACUCCAUUCCAGAUCUGUAAGCUUCUCACACGAUCAUGGAGACUGUGCCCAGCAGCGCUGAUCAGUGCUGAGUCACUACUCCCAGCUCCUAACCACAGGCAGACCCACCUUCUUUGGGUGACAACUGGGAAGGAUGUCCCAGGCGUGGGCCCCCAAUGGAGUCCAGCAGAGAGCCUAGGAGAACGGUUGGACCAAAUCCAGUAUAUCCAGGAGCUGCACCAAGUCCGGCAACUUCUCAGCCAAUAUGGAAGCACAUCUCCUAGCUGAACUCCAACAGACCUACUGCAGGAAAAGCUCCAGAGAGAAGUCUCUGAUGACCAAUCAUGAAAGGGAUGAACCACAGGUCUCCAUGGUCAUUCUAAAGGCCAGAGCCAGCAACCUCAAAUCGAAUCUGAAAGUUCAUGCUUAGAGUACAUUUACAUUUUCAAGACCUGACUAUCCAGUGACGUUCAACUGACACAAGUGGAAGCUUUCAAAAGGAAGGCCUGCUCCUGUGGCCUAUCAAACGUCAACAUCACUGAAAUCCUGGUCGUCUGAUUCAUAUGACAUACAAAGGGCUUUAUGGAUCACAAAAAAAUGCCCGCGAGGAAAGUAUUUCAUUUCUUUUAUCUAGAAAUUUGGACAGUAGUCAAAGUAAUUCUAACACAAGUCAGUCACAAGUUUAUGGAGCAGAUUUGCUAUCCUUUCGUCACACAAUAAAUCAAAUAAAUCAAGCAAAUACGUGGUGAAAGAAUUAAAAAAUCUGAUCACUGAUUAUAAUCUCUUGCAUGCCAUUGGGGGAUGUCCCCGGCCUGUCCACGUA